CUGGGAGGGAGGGCAGCCGGCAGCGCAGCGCUCCCCGCAGCCGGCCGGAGCAGAACCGGCCUCCGAUCCACCCAGCAAAAGUACUGCCAUUUGCCUUCUUUGCAAGAGCAAGCAGAAUGGAAACUGGACUAGAAAGGAGAGCUCUCCAAGCACAUUCCAGUCAUGACUUGAAAUUCACCAGGUGCACUUUUUGAUGACUUCAAUACUAUUACCUUGAAGCACAAUAGGAAAUAUUACCUGUUUAUCUAAAAACUCAAUAUCGCCCGAUCAGGUUUCAAACCUUCAUAUGCUGGAAUACACAAAAUAAGCCAUGUAUUAUGAUUCUAAUUUGUAUGUAAAAGCACCUUCUUCCAAACAUGAUCUCAUAAAUAAAUACAUGAAGGAAACUUAC